AGGGGGUUAGCUUAACGGUUAAAGCACAAGAAUGUUAAUCUUGGGAGUGGAGGUUCGAAUCCUCCACCCUCUG
rnacentral:tRNA from 1 species